rnacentral:rRNA from 1 species
UACGUAGGGUGCAAGCGUUGUCCGGAAUUAUUGGGCGUAAAGAGCUCGUAGGCGGUUUGUCGCGUCUGCUGUGAAAACUCGGGGCUCAACUCCGAGCUUGCAGUGGGUACGGGCAGACUAGAGUGCGGUAGGGGAGACUGGAAUUCCUGGUGUAGCGGUGAAAUGCGCAGAUAUCAGGAGGAACACCGGUGGCGAAGGCGGGUCUCUGGGCCGAUACUGACGCUGAGGAGCGAAAGCGUGGGGAGCAAACAGG